AAUGGGGGAAACCCUGACGCAGCCAUGCCGCGUGAGUGAUGAAGGCCUUAGGGUUGUAAAGCUCUUUCAAUAGUGAAGAUAAUGACGGUAGCUAUAGAAGAAGCCCCGGCUAAACUCGUGCCAGCAGCCGCGGUAAUACGAAUGGGGCAAGCGUUGUUCGGAAUCACUGGGCUUAAAGCGUGCGUAGGCGGACUUGCAAGUCAGGAGUGAAAUCCCAGGGCUCAACCCUGGAACUGCUCUUGAAACUGCAUGUCUAGAAACCGGUAGGGGCCAAUGGAAUUCCGAGUGGAGAGGUGAAAUUCGCAGAGAUUCGGAGGAACACCAGUGGCGUAGGCGAUUGGCUGGACCGGUAUUGACGCUGAGGUACGAAAGCGUGGGGAGCAAACAGGAUU
rnacentral:rRNA from 1 species